rnacentral:misc_RNA from 1 species
UAAUCUCACCCCUUUGACUUUUUUGUUGAUCGGUGUGGACUUGGAUGUUGCUGUGUAACAAACGGCUCGUCUGAAAUGCCUGAGUGUACCCUGCUUUGCGGCGUAUUUGGUGUGAUAAAUCUUCACCAGAGUUGACUUUUUCAAGUCGCGCUUGUACCUGUGGGCUCUAUGCUUCCAACCGUCCUGACAAGACAAUCUUUGACA